AUUUCAAUAACAGCUUUGUUACUAAUACAAAUAAGCUUGAAUUUUGUGUUUCAGGGUAAGCAAGCUAAGGACAAGACAACAAAAUUUUCCAAAAAAAAAUCAUGCAAGGAAAGAAGAAAGAGAAAAUUAAAACAAAAGACAGUUCACUUUCUGACAUUUCCAUUCUUGAAAAGUUUAUGAAAACCUAUGAAAGGCAUUGUGCCUUUUCCCAAAGCUCUGUCAGUGGCAUGAUCAAACGGAGCUUAAGAAAAUGCAUAGAAAAUGAAACUAUUCUUACAAAGUUUGUGCUCACAAACUCUCAGAAUUCCCAGCCAGUCUUCCUCACACCUCUAUUAAGGACAAUUAGAGAUGAACGGUAUAUGUUAGGAAAAGAACUCUGUAUCUGGGGAAUUCAGCUAAACAAUCAAGACAUUGCAAACCUUGCAAUGCUUUUAGAGCGGAAUGGACGUACCAACUAUCCCUUUUGUACUCUAGAAAUAACUCAUGCUCAGAUAGAUGCAUGGUCCAUGGAGCGACUUGGAGCAGCUUUCCCUUUCAGCAACUUGAACUCCAUUGUUCUAGAUUAUACCAAGUUUGGAGAUAAAGGAAUCAACGGACUUGUUUCUGGGUUAGAGGGAAACAGAAAGCUUCUAACCCUCAGCUUAUGCUACUGCAGUUUGGAACCUGAAAGUGGGUCCAAGUUAGGCCCCAUUGUAGCCCAAACUGCCAUUUGCAAUCUUUAUCUAAAUGGUAACAACUUGCAAUGUUUGGGUGCCCUUGAGCUCAUCACACCAAUAGCUAUGUAUGCAGACAAUCUUGGAAGAGAUAAGGAGACAAAUGCCUUACUAUUCAACAAUUAUUCUGAUCAUCAAAUACCAGAAGCAGGGGAAGCCUGCAUGUGA
rnacentral:lncRNA from 1 species